GUCUUGAGUAUGCUCUGAAAUGACAAUUUAUGGUCAAUUGGUAAUGAGAACAAGCAUCACACAACAAGAUAUUUGAGGAAAAUUCAAGGGCUUAAAAAGUGUGCAAGUGUGUGGCAACAAUAUGAACUGUUAUGGGAUGAUCAUCUUGGAUAGUUUUGAGAAUCCCACUUACAAUCCAUGCGUUCAUCAUUAUUUUGUUCAUCUUCAUCAAAAUCAGGAAUAUAGAAGUCAGGUGGAACCUUCAACACAGAUCAAUGCAGUCAUUCUACUAAUUAAGAAAAAUCAUUUCCACUCUAACCUGAAAUCAAAACAACAUCUAGAGCUUUUAUAAUUGUUUGUUCUUUCCUCCAUGAACAAGCAACUAGGUUAUGAUGCAUACAUUUUGCAUAGUCA
rnacentral:misc_RNA from 1 species